rnacentral:ncRNA from 2 species
CCACUCUGAAAAGUGGAAUGAAUUCUUAUUCCCGCCGACGGUGAAAGCGCCUCAGGGCGUGAAACUCUCAGGCCAAUGACAGAGGGGGA